UCAUAGUUUCCUUCUAACUUUGACUGUCCAGCUGGAUUGUCCGUCUUAUAUAAAAUUUUUUUAUAAUUCGUAUUUUUAUCGUUGUUAGAUGAUAAAACAUGAUUAAUAUUUUAUGCGUAACUUGUCUGUUUAAUUUUUUUUAUAUUUUUUAAAAUAAGACGGACGGUUAAAUACUGGGUACGGAAACC
rfam:Oryza nivara chromosome 5, whole genome shotgun sequence.